rnacentral:lncRNA from 1 species
GGAUACCUAAUCGUUUAGUCUGAAUCAAGGAGGGGAAGGUGCGUGUAUAGUUAAAGUUUAGCAGAUAUGCUGAACCUACACAUGGAUAGUAUUUGAAACCUAGUCCAGACGUGAAUAGGUAUUUGUAAGUAUAAGUUACAUAGCAAACAAAACUGCUGUGCCCAAUGUGAGAUUGUGUGUCCUAUCCAUAUGAUGAGGGGAUCAUUUUCGCCUCUCCUCGAUGAUGAUAUAAAUGACAUCGCGCGAUGAAACCUUAUAUGUGAUAUUUCAAGUGUAUUAUGAUAUUUUGAGUGUAUGUGUGAUAUCCGAGUAGUAUGUG